rnacentral:rRNA from 1 species
ACAGUGUCUGGUGGGUAGUUUGACUGGGGCGGUCUCCUCCUAAAGAGUAACGGAGGAGCACGAAGGUUGGCUAAUCCUGGUCGGACAUCAGGAGGUUAGUGCAAUGGCAUAAGCCAGCUUGACUGCGAGCGUGACGGCGCGAGCAGGUGCGAAAGCAGGUCAUAGUGAUCCGGUGGUUCUGAAUGGAAGGGCCAUCGCUCAACGGAUAAAAGGUACUCCGGGGAUAACAGGCUGAUACCGCCCAAGAGUUCAUAUCGACGGCGGUGUUUGGCACCUCGAUGUCGGCUCAUCACAUCCUGGGGCUGAAGUAGGUCCCAAGGGUAUGGCUGUUCGCCAUUUAAAGUGGUACGCGAGCUGGGUUUAGAACGUCGUGAGACAGUUCGGUCCCUAUCUGCCGUGGGCGCUGGAGAACUGAGG